AUGAACUUGGCUUCCACUUUGGGAAGAGAACCACCUUUUUCUAUACUUGCUUGCAUUUUUGCUUUAAUGUCUUCUACAGAACUAGGUCCUUUUGGUGUUUUAGGAGUUUUUUCCUGUUUUUUGAAGGAUUCUUGUCCUUUCUUCACUGGUGCUUUUUCUUCAGCUUCCUCAUCAUCAAAAUCAUCAUCAUCAUCAUCUUCAUCAUCUUCAUUAUCAUCUUCAUCAGCAGCAAGUUUUACUUUUUUCUGUGGAACCUUGCUACCACCUCCAGGGGCAGACCGCUUUCCAGAUAUACUUAAGAGUUUCACAUUCUCCUCCUCUUCAUCUUCUGACUCUGCAUCUUCCUCCACAGCUACUAAGUGCUGUCCACUAAUAUGCACUGGCCCUGAACCACACUUCAACCUUACGACCACUGGUGGUGUUAUUUCAAAGCCCCCAAGGGAAACCGUUGGCUGUACAGACAUUUUCAAAGUUGCCAGUGUUACUUUAAUUGGACUGCCUUCGUAAUUCAUUGCCUCUGCUUCAACAAUGUGCAAUUCAUCCUUUGCACCAGCCCCUAAACUGACCGUUCUUAAAGAUAACUGGUGCUCAUUUUCAUCAUUAUCCACCUUAAAGUGAUAAUCUUUGUCGGCCUUUAGUUCACAACCGAAAAGAUAGUUCUGGGGCCUCAGGGGGCUCAUGUCCAUGUCCAUCGAAUCUUCCAUCAGGUGGCGGCAUGCACUUAGGUGAGAGAGAAGGCGGAUGGAGAUAAACGAACGCUGCUCCAAAGAACAGCCGCGCAGGACGGAAUCACACCAGGGACUAUUUUUUUGUUUUAUUUUUGUAAGAAUUGUGCACCAUUUUGUACUCAAAUAUAAAUUGUAUUUUAUUUUAAAGUUGAUUUAAGUAACAACAAAAGUAAAUAAGUAAAUACAAAAUUUAAAACUUGAUAAUAUAAAGCAGUUUCUUCAUCCUAUUCAAUUGACUUCUCAAAGAAUGGAGAAUAAUUUCCUUAAGAAGAAACUCAUGUCCCAAUUCCUUCAUUUGUGUACAUCCUUUAGUGCAUCCUUUGUAUCAAUGCUAUAUGUUGUAUUAUGUGGUGAAAUAGACAAAGAUAAUUAUUGACCUUUAACAAAAGUUAAGACUGUAGUGAGGAAUUUGACAUUGUUUUGCGUAUGAGAGAGAUAAUUAGAGAAACCUGAAACUGACAUAUAUAAAAAAGAACUAUCUUAGAGCACUUGAAAAAAAAUUAGUAAUUCUGAUCUUGUCUUUAUUAAAAAUAUUGGUAUUUGGUUCAUUGUUUUUAAAACAUAUCUUAUAAUGUUACUUAUUCUGAAUAUUAGCUGUAUGUGUGUCUAUUCCCUUUGAUUUUGUGAUGCAAUUGGCUCAUUCAUGUCACAUUAGUCCAAGGAAGAAAGGAAAUGAAGGAGGAAGAGAGAAAGGGAGAAAAGAGAAAGAAAAAAGUUCAGAUGAAAUAAAUACAUAAACAGUUGUUACAGUGGGUUCAAUCAUGGCCCUUAAAAGAUACAUCCGAAUCAUCCUAUAUUCUGUAAAUAUGACCUUAUUUGGAAAAAGAGUCUUCGAAGACAUAAUUAAUUGAGGAUCAUGAGAUGAGGUCACCAUGGAUUAGCUGCAUCAGAUCUAAAUCCAAUGACAAGUGUUGUUAUAUGAGACACACAGAAAAGACACACACAAGUAAAGGAGGGGGAGGUUACGUGAAGAUGGAAGCAGAGUCUGGGACACUAGAAACCCUGAGAAUGUAGGCACAGUGUGAAAGCACUCUUCCCUAGGGCCUGUGGAGGGAAUGUGAGUCUCCAGAAAUGUAAAAGAAUACCUUCCUUUUGUUUUUAAGCCAUCAAGUUUUUGGUAAUUUGUUAAAGCAGCUAGAGGAAACGAAUACAGUAGUAAAGACGCAUUAAGUGCUAUGUGACAUGGCAUAUAAAGCAACCAAUUUUGCUGAAGAGCUGAGAUAUGCAUAGUAGUAAUGAAAAAAAGAGGCCACCAAGGUGGAUCUUCAAGGAUCAUUUUAAGUGGUGAUGUUGGCUUAGCUCAUAAUGUGACAAAAUUCAAAGGUUUGAGAACUGGUCAGAUUUUGGACCUAGUUUGGGAAUAGAGGUGUAAAUAGUAGAUGGCAGACUAAUGGACAUAUAAUGUUGUCUUAGUCCAUUUGUCUUGCUACAACAAAAUACCGGAGACCAGGUAAUUUAUAAAUAAUAUAAAUUUAUUUCUCACAGUUACGGAAUAUGGAAAGUGCAUGAUCAAGGUGCCUACAUUUAAUCUGGUAAGGACCUUCUUGCUGUGUCCUCACAUGGCAGAAGACAGAAGGGCAAGCUAGCCAAAUAAUGUGUGAAAUCCCUCUUACAAGGGCCUUAGUUCACAAGGGAGGAAUCCUCACAGCCCAAUCACCUUUUAAAGGCCCUAUGUUUUAACACUAUCAAAAUCACAACAUCUGAAUUUUAAAUAGAACAUAUUCAAGCCACAGCAGAGGUGAAAAUUUAACAAGAAUGAUUACAACUACUUGGGUUUACACACUACAGAAAGAGUUUCAAUUGCAGAGAAAUAGAAACUUGCAUUAGAAGUUAAAUUUUGGACACACUAAGUUUAAAAAGUUUAGUGGACACCUAAGUCAUGUUGAAAUAGGUAGUUGGGUAUGAAUCUAAUGAUCAGAGAGGAACAUUUGGGUAUUUAAUUUUUAUUUAUUCGGCAAAAUGGUAAAAUAAGCACAUUAGGAAUAUGCACUAUAAUUACUGAUUUCCACAAUAUGACAUGGCAGAAUUUAUAAUUUGUAUAAGCAGUCUGCAUCACAAUCUAUGAGGUUAAUGUGUUUCAUUACAUAACUAUUAAUAUUGUAAACAUAUGACUGCAGUAAAAUUAUAAAAUUUACAAUUAUGAUAAUUUCAAUAUUAAUUUCUAUGUGCAAUGAUUAUUUUUAAACAGAUAAAAG
ensembl:lncRNA